rnacentral:rRNA from 1 species
UACGUAGGUGGCAAGCGUUUGUCCGGAUUUACUGGGCGUAAAGGGCUUGUAGGCGGUUUGUUAAGUCUGGUGUGAAAUCUCCCGGCUCAACCGGGAGGGGUCAUCGGAUACUGGCAGACUAGAGACGGGUAGAGGAAAGCAGAAUUCCCGGUGUAGCGGUGAAAUGCGUAGAUAUCGGGAGGAAUACCAGUGGCGAAGGCGGCUUUCUGGGCCUGUUCUGACGCUGAGGAGCGAAAGCGUGGGGAGCAAACCGG